UACGGAGGGGGCUAGCGUUGUUCGGAAUUACUGGGCGUAAAGCGCACGUAGGCGGACUGUUAAGUCGGGGGUGAAAUCCUGGGGCUCAACCUCAGAAUUGCCUCCGAUACUGGCAGUCUCGAGUGUGGGAGAGGUGAGUGGAAUUCCCAGUGUAGAGGUGAAAUUCGUAGAUAUUGGGAAGAACACCAGUGGCGAAGGCGGCUCACUGGCCCGUAACUGACGCUGAGGUGCGAAAGCGUGGGGAGCAAACAGG
rnacentral:rRNA from 1 species